rnacentral:tRNA from 1 species
CCCGAAAUAGCUCACUUAGAAGAGCGUUAACUAUGAAUCGAAAGGUCCCUGGUUCGAUCCCGGGAUUCCGCA